GACGAACGCUGGCGGCGUGCCUAACACAUGCAAGUCGAACGGAAAGGCCGUGCUUUUGUGGGGUGCUCGAGUGGCGAACGGGUGAGUAACACGUGAGUAACCUGCCCUUGACUUUGGGAUAACUUCAGGAAACUGGGGCUAAUACCGGAUAGGAGCUCCUGCUGCAGGGUGGGGGGUGGAAAGUUUCGGCGGUUGGGGAUGGACGCGCGGCUCAUCAGCUUGUGGGUGGGGUAGUGGCUUACAAAGUCGUUGACGGGUAGCCGGCCUGAGAGGGGGACCGGCCGCCUUGGGACUGCGAUACGGCCCAGACUCCUACGUGAGGCAACGGUGGGGAAUAUUGUACAGUGGGCGGGCGCCUGAUGCGGCAACGCCGCGUUCGGGAUGACCGCCUUCGGGUAGUGAACCGCUUUCGCCUGUGACGAAGCGUGAAUGACGGUACUGGGUGAAUAAGCACCGGCUAACUACGUG
rnacentral:rRNA from 1 species